rnacentral:rRNA from 1 species
UACGAAGGGGGCUAGCGUUGCUCGGAAUCACUGGGCGUAAAGGGUGCGUAGGCGGGUCUUUAAGUCAGGGGUGAAAUCCUGGAGCUCAACUCCAGAACUGCCUUUGAUACUGGCGAUCUUGAGUCCGGGAGAGGUGAGUGGAACUCCGAGUGUAGAGGUGAAAUUCGUAGAUAUUCGGAAGAACACCAGUGGCGAAGGCGGCUCACUGGCCCGGUACUGACGCUGAGGUGCGAAAGCGUGGGGAGCAAACAGG